GGGUCGUUAGCUUAAUGGUAGAGCCGUCGGCUGCAACCCGGCAAGUGGGUGUUCGAUUCCCCCACGACCCU
rnacentral:tRNA from 1 species